UACGUAGGGUGCAAGCGUUGUCCGGAAUUAUUGGGCGUAAAGAGCUCGUAGGCGGUCUGUCACGUCUGCCGUGAAAACCCGAGGCUUAACCUCGUGGCUUGCGGUGGAUAUGGGCAGACUAGAGGUAGGUAGGGGAGAACGGAAUUCCCGGUGUAGCGGUGAAAUGCGCAGAUAUCGGGAGGAACACCGGUGGCGAAGGCGGUUCUCUGGGCCUUACCUGACGCUGAGGAGCGAAAGCAUGGGGAGCGAACAGG
rnacentral:rRNA from 1 species